rnacentral:lncRNA from 1 species
UGAUGUUGAUGGAGCAAGUGGGCGGUGGCGGUGGCAGUGGUGUGCGCCACUUGCGCUGAUGGAGACUGCGCCGGGCUAGAAGACCCUAGGUGCGACGCACCUAGGGUUUGAAAUUUUUUUGUUUUUUCUGUUAGGGGUUUGGGCUAGGGUUUGUUUGUAAUUGGGCUGAGGGUGGUUGGGCUGAAAUGGGUUAGGUCAAAAUGGGUUUGGGUCUGAUUUUAGGUUAGUGGGCCUGGUUUGAUUUGGUGAGGCCCGGGCUAAAUUUGGGUUGUACAACUGUCCUAUGCAACAACCACCAACAAAUGAUAGUUAUAUCUCCCGUACAUGAAUGUGCCUUCAAUUUGACUAAUGACUUA